rnacentral:rRNA from 1 species
AACGAACGCUGGCGGCAGGCUUAACACAUGCAAGUCGAGCGCCCCGCAAGGGCAGCGGCAGACGGGUGAGUAACGCGUGGGAAGCUACCCAUCUCUACGGAAUAACGGAGGGAAACGUGUGCUAAUACCGGAUACGUCCUUCGGAAGAAAGAUUUAACGGAGAGAGAGGGGCCAGGGUUGGAUUAGAUAGUUGGUGGGGGAAAGGCCUACCAAGGCGACGAUCCAUAGGUGGUCUGAGAGGAUGAUCAGCCACACUGGGACUGAGACACGGCCCAGACUCCUACGGGAGGCAGCAGUGGGGAAUAGUGGACAAUGGGCGCAAGCCUGAUCCAGCCAUGCCGCGUGAGUGAUGAAGGCCCUAGGGUUGUAAAGCUCUUUCACCGGUGAAGAUAGUGACGGUAACCGGAGAAGAAGCCCCGGCUAACUUCGUGCCAGCAGCCGCAGUAACAC